CGUCCUUCAGGGAAGGGUUUCUGCAAUUUCAAAAUGACCCGUCGCAGAGUCGGCGGAAUGUCAAAGUCAGAAACCCUACCGUUUCAGGUCCGUCCAUGGCGAAAUUGAGCUUGGGCGACCAAGCUUUCUUUCUCAUGGCCUUCAUCGCCUGCACGACUUCAGUGGCAUUUACGAGCCUUGUAAUUGUAGCUCUCCCGACAUGUGCAAUAGGGAGUGCUGCAACAUCUCUUUCAAAGCUAGCAGAUACAGGUCGUCAAGAACGCCCUAGUACUAUGGCUGCCAUUAGGCUCUUAGGAAUGGAAAUAAGUGAUCUCACACUGGAAUUGAAUGACCUAAGGUGAUCAUUUUAUCUUACUUUUUUGACUAUAUAUGUUGUACAAUGGUUAAUUGAUCAACCAUUCAACCUUUUCGCAUUAAUUAUAGCCCUCUUUAUCAUGCAAGUCAUCCUCUUCCUAUGGAGCACCUAACAAUUUAUAGUUUUAUAAGAUGGAUGACUUUACUUGUUCAUGCAUUCAUUAUGCAAUGAGAUCUGUAAGGGGAAGAUCAUUGAGUCUAAUCAUUUUUUUUCUUUUUCCUUUUUCUUAUUGUCUUCUAAAGUAUUUAUUAUAAAUGGUAAUCUAUUGUAAUUCUCCCACAUAUAUACUACAUCAGGUUUUACAUGAGGAAUUACUUCCAAAGGCAAUUGGUCAUCAGUUAUCUAUGUCAAAACUUUCUAACUCCCAGUCCCAUAGGCUUACCAUCAACAAGUAUUCUGCUCUUGAAACCGCUAGGAAGCUUCUAUGGUCUAAGCAGUCAUGGAUAGGUGCCAACUUUUUUUGGACUUCUGCAGAAACUGCCCUGCAGCACAGCUCUCUUUGGUAUUUGUUUUACCCUACUUAAUGAUCUUUAAAUGUACUGAAAUUUUGACAUGUUUCUGUUUUGUUAGUUAAAAAAGGAUCUGGAAAGUUUCAUCUUAUUCCGAAGCAAAGUGAAUUUUCAGUGAUUCUUCCA